GUCAGACAGCAGGCAACGAAGUGUUAACACCCCUUCAAACCCAGAAAAAAAAUAUUUCAGCCUGCCAGGAAAGAAGCUGAGGAUCAUCUCAGUUUAGGGAUUAACUUUAGAAGCAAAAAGGGGGAAAAGAAUUUGAUACAUCUCUUAAAAGAACAAGAACAGUAACUGAAGAGAAACCACAGCAAUACACCCAAGCAAAAAGCUUAUGGAGACCACAUACAACAGAGAAAAUGCUGAUAGUACAGAUGUUAUUAUGGUAUGUAUAUUCGUGUUUUUAUAUUGCAAAAUGCCCUGUGAUCAUUGGAUAAAGGGUGGUAUAGAAAUUGAAUUCAUCAUCACCACCACCACCAGGUUUCUUUAACCAGGACUUACACCCUACCCUACCAAUGUUAGGCUAAGAAAAUUUCACAAUUUCUUCCUCUACCAACAUUCUCUGUAAGCCAAAAGACUGCAUGUCCCAGUCUUUUGCAAUGUAAUGAGCCACUGCUAAUAAUUGAAAAGAGAAAACAGCAGGGAAUUCACAUUCUCGCAGCAUGAACCCUGAUAUUUUACUGAAUGAAUACACUUAUUAAAUUGAUUGGUUAAUGGAGCAUGUGUGCAGUGUUAGCAUAUUAAGAACAGGAAGCUGGACAGAUAUUUCCCUAGUGGUUUGGACCCAAACAGUAUAUAAAUAUGCAAAGUAUCAGUUCGCUUAUCACAUACGGAAGGCAACUACGGGUCUAUAAAUUUACUUCCAACACACAGUAGAGGAGAAUGUUGUAUCAAAAUGGUUGUAUUUCACUAGAAUUCUUCUGAAGUGCUUUCUGCUGUCAUGGGAAAUGUAAGAAUUUACCACAUAGUAACAGUAUUCCCCAUGUACAUCUUUGCUGAUAUUACACAUAAUAAGUAAUAAGGCUCCAAAAUUCACCUAUCCAUCAAAGAUAUACAAAAAACCCCCAAUUUAAUGUUGCACAGCUGUAAGAUUUUAAUAGUGCUGUAAUAUAUAGCAAACAUAAAUUUGUGUGGUUUCAUCUAUUCAAGAUACUCACGCAUUCCAAUCCAUGUCAGUAAUGAUAAACGCUUCAGAUCUCAAGCUAUGCCUUUCAGUGGCCCUUGGCUUGCUAAGCUGCUCCACACCAUUCUAUGUUGUACUAAUGACAAGUUUGUGUAAGGCCAGAUAUACACCCAGCUUACACAUUGCCAAUUAUGCUGGAGUUUACCGUUUUUAAACGUGUGAGUAAUGGGGGGAACCACUUGAGACAACUGUGGGAAUAUGGAGCGGACAAGGGAUCAAAGAGCUACAGGGAAGGGUGCAAGAGUUGAAACACUUCUUUGUGACUCUAUCUCAAAUAGGAGGAUGAACCCACAAUGAGACUCAAUUUGAAAAAAUAAAGGAAGAAAAAGCUAAAAUGCUUUUAUAAAAGUUGAAAAGGAAAGAAGGGAUGAUGGCGAACAUUUAUCUGAGUAAUUGCUAGCAUGAAAGGGGAUUUCCCCAAACCUAUUUAGUGAGGCAUUAAAUAAAAAUCCAGAAGUGAAGCACAAACUGGACAAGACACAGCUGUGAAGAAAUCUGUGAGCAUCGUUGAUAGUAAAACUUGUGUGAAAACUGGUUACUGCAGACAUAUUGUUAGCUUUGACACAGUAAACUUUCAGCAUCAGAGCAGGGAAGCCUAAUAAACUAGUUGUCAGAGACAUAUAAGGGGGUCAGUUCACAAGUAACUCCAAACCAAACAAUGGAUUGGCAUGAACACGUGAGCUUCCACAGAGGAGACUGCAGCUACUUUACUUCUCCUCCAGUCCUGAUGUGGGGAGUUAAGUCAUGGUUUGGCUUAGCAUAUCAUCUGAACCUGUGCUGGUUGCUUUGUCUGUCUCCCGAUAAACACGUUUUGAAUGUUUUUUGGGAAGCCAAAUGUCUGAUGGGGCUUCCACAGCUUUUGAUUGGCUGCAGGAGCUUCCUGCAGCCAAUCAGAAGCUGUGCUUUGGAAGUCGAACGUUUCAGAAGUCAAACAGACUUCCGGAACAGAUUCUGUUUUACUUCCGAGGUACAACUGUACUCUGAUCCUAAACCUCUGCUGCCUUGCAGGAUAUCUUGGGGAGGAGAAAAGGCUAAGGAAUAAACCCUACACAAUUCUGCAGUGGAGUUCCUAUGAUGGUUGGAUGGCACCUUGUACACCUCCUUCUGGAAACUCCUGCAGCCAAGCUGGUGCCACAUCAACAAAGCUGAGAGGAGGGUCCUUUCAUCUGGGCAGUCCAGGACCUCCAUACACACUGCCCAGGGAGGUGCCCAGGUGUCCCCGGGAGGUCACUUAGGUGCUGCUAACACAGUGAUCUGACUUCACCCCCAACAGCACAGUACAUUGUGUCUCGAGACCAACAGCAUAUUAACAUUAAUAAAUGAAAAUAUUAUAUUCUACCUGUUGGACAAAACCUAUGCACUAUUGUAUAGAAUUUGGAUUAAUAUUUCAAAAUGUUCUGAUUUAAGAAAUUGUCACAUAAUGUCUACUAAAUGGAUUAAAAACUGGCUAACUAACAGAUCUCAGAACUUCAUCUGGAUGCCAAAGGGAGAGAGUCUGGAUCUCAGCCACAUCAGCUUGAACAUUAAUCCUCUUCUCCUUUGACACUGAUACCAUGGCAAAAGCCUGCCUUCUAAUCUGGCCUAAAUGUUUUCCUUAGGAACGAGGAAAAGCCAUGGAAUAGGCUGCUUCUAAAUUUGUCAUAGCUACUGUGGCAUCCAUAUCCCACCAAUGGAUGCAUUUAAAUUGCCUAUGAUGUAGCCUUUGAGAUUAAACACUAUCCCUAUAAUGCAAUAAAAAACGUUUACUUGUUUAGUUAACCUAGCUUCAAGAACACCAGGAAAAAUCCACCACAGAUAGUGGUGUGUGCAGGGAAGGGGCUGAAUGAAGCACAUGGCUGGUGCAACUGAGAACAUGGAAGGGGAACAUGGCCUUAGUGGUGUGCUUGCUGGCAGAGAUAGUGGGCUGCUGGGGAUAUACAGUGUUGGUGUGUACAUCUUAUGUCAGCCAAUAACAUUUGCCACUCUAGAAACAUAUACAAGUCAUAAUCAUGUUAACUUGCAUCUUUUCUUAGGGAACAAUCAUCUUUACUUAGGGAACUGCUAUGCUCCCAUUAAGUCAUCACCAAAACACGUAUAACCAAUGUGCAAUGAUAUAGUUUGUUAUGUGAUGCAAGUUUCAUGUUUGUCCUUCUUGUUUGCACAUUUAAUCUAACCUCAAGAAGCAGGAAGCAUCAUAGUAAAACAUUCUGAGUUGGUAUUUUGGAAAAGCUAUGCAUUUAUGAUUAAAUGAACAGUAGUUCCCAUUUCAGUUCCCAUUACAUAUUAAAUAAUCGAUGUUUCAAACACAUUCAUUUAAAAGUGGAGGGAAAGGCUGCCCCCAAUGUCUGCAGACACAGUAUGCUUCUUAUCACUUCACUGCACCAUCAAACCACCCUUCUGACUGGAUGCAAAACAUCCAUAAAGUUCUCAGUCACCUGCACUAGGUCACAGACUUCUUUCGGGCACAGUGAGAACAGUUACUUUGUUCUCUACCGGCAUGAAAUUAUCAUGGUGUUUUCUACCCUUUGCUUAUCACAGUGGGGAACGGCUAUACCAAAUCUCUGCUUUUCAAACAACAUGCAGCAUAUUCUUGUAGAUCUCCAGGUUUAAGGAGUUAACUUGUCCUAGUUUUGGUUAAUGGCGCAUUUCUUCAGAAGUGUUUAUUUCGUUCGGAAAAAGAAACCACAGGAAGUACUUGUUGAAAGUGUGCCAGCAGAUGGCACCUGAGAGCAAGCAGCCAGAAAUGCAGGAAAGAGUCAUGCCAGAAUGCUAUAGCAUAGACAAUUCAUAUAUUAUGCUAGACCCAGCUUUCUUCAUGGCAGAGUCAUCAUGAUAUGCAAAUAAUCACAAUCCAUCAAUGAGAGAGUCUGGAAAAAGCUCCAUAUGAACAAAUACACAGGGCAUGCUGUUGUCAAGUAAAUAUCCAGAGAGUUCAACUGUCAGUAACUACUGCAGAUGAGGAAAUAUGUCUAUUUCUGUUUCUCCUUUUUCCAACGUUAAAUUCAGUUCUCCACAUUUCCACUGGAGGAAUUCAAGGUAGUGCUCAGAGAAUCGCUUGUAUGGGCUUCUGCUAGUGGUAUUGGUUAGCUGAAUCCAGCCCAACAAAAUAUUUUUAUCCUUAUGAAAAUUAACCAGCAUUUUAGCGCUAAGUUCUACUAAUUACAUUUUCAAAAAGCAUAGCUUUCCUAAUAUUUAUAUUUUCCCUAAUAUCAUGCAUGUUUCAGUAGUAUAUUCAUUUUUAUGCACAUUUGGCCUUAGUAUAUGCCUUUUUGUAUACGUUGCUUGGCUGAAGGACUGCCCUAGAAAAUGCAGAGUAUUGCAAAUUUUGAAGGAUGGCUAUGUCAGCUUGCAUAUUAUUUUAGAAAAUGUGAAUUAGGUAGGUUGGCCUUUAAAUGCAAAGUGAAUCAAAUUUCUCCCCCAUCUAUAGUAACAACAUCCAUAGUGAAUUACAACAUUCUAAAAUACAAUAUAAAGGACAGUUUGAAACAAAAUUGCAGUCGCAAGAGUAAUAUGGGUCUUCAGGUGUCAAUGGCCAGGGUAAAGAGGGGCAUCGUGGCGAGGGAAUUCCACAACGUGAGUUGUAUUCCAUUCAGUUCACAGGAAAGGUUGUUCUGUUUUCUUACCGGAUAGAAUGCCUGACAAGGGAAGCAAACAGUUCUCUGGUUCUCCCUGUGCCAUUUUGAAUUUGAGAGCAGUGAAUUCCUUUACGAGCAUCCAUGAUCAAACGUCAGAUCAGAUUGGGUUCCUACCCCCACCAAUCACUUUAGCACUAGCCUCUGGUGCCAGUGUAUUCUCUUUCCUUUGUCUCAGGGACCACUAUAAUGGACCCCACUGCCAAAGAAAUAGUGUGCUCGCCUGUCAUGCCACAUGUGAGCAGGAGAAAGGAUUAUCUCUUUUGCCUAGAACACAGGAAAAGGACAACUCCAAUCUCUGCUGUCCAGGGUCAAGCCAAGGCCACAGAAACACAGAAGACACACAACAGUACAGGCAGCCCCCCAAUUACAAAUGUUUAAUUUGUGUGUGAUCGUGUCUAUGCACAUCACAGUGGGUCGGCAUCCGGAGGUCGAAAGGCCAGCUGGCUAGCCCCCAGCUGGAUUGUCUCCUUCCAGCCAUGCCACUGCGAAGACCCAUCAACAUAAAUCAGUGACCCAAGCCUUGGGCACACUAUACUUAGCAGUGUAACUGCACAACGGAAGAGACUGAGGCUUGUGAAUACAUACUAUUAACUACAGAUUUAUUAAACAUAACUCAAAAGAGAGAAACAUGUCGUCUCUCCUUGCCGUCUCCUCGGAGAGAAGAUUUAAAAGCAAAAGCAAUACAGCGGAAGUUCCGCUUACACCAGCAAACUGUGCUGGAAUGUAAACAGACAUGUGACAUGAAACAAUCUCAUGUCUGCAACUAAAGGUGGAAUGGAAAAUCCCAACACAGUGAACCCAGAAGUGAUCUAGAAACGUCACAAAACCAUCACUGAAUUAUCACUAAAAGGGUGGAACGGGGGUGGGGCGAAGUGUUCAGGCUUUUUCAAUUACUUCCAAUUAUACGUGAUUUCAACAAUGUACCUCCGAAUGUAAACAGGGGUCUGCCUUAUCUGUUCGGGAUAUAAGUGCAUGUUUCUGUGCGGAAGGGAGGGAGACCAUUAAACUACUAUAUGCCUUCCUAUUUGAGGCUGGGAUAGGGCCACCUUCCCACCUUGCGUCACCAGCAUGAACUCUAUAGAUCUUUUUUGCCUGCACAGACUCUUGGAGCGGCAGUACCUUCAGAUGGCCCUAUUUAUUGUCUCAGAUCACAUCAUGAAGCACCAAAAAAAGAAAAUCUAGUAAUUACUCUAAUGACACAUCCUCACGUUGGUAAAUAGCAGCAGCUGCUCCUUUAAAAUUAUUUCUGUUCCAAAACCACUGGAAAAUUGUUUAAGUUGCAAAGUAUUAUCUGGAGCUUAUGAAACAGGUUCUUAAUUAGGUGAAACUGUUUGCUUUGUUGUAGACUCAUUUCCAGAAGCACCUAAAAGAGCUUUUAAUGCUAGCGGCACAUUUAGACUGCAAAAAUCUCUCUUCGUCGCAUCAGCCUACAUGCUCUCACUCACCUCCCACUCCAAAAGAAGCUAUUUGAAUCUUGAAGAACCCAUUUAAUGCACACUCUUCUUUGCCAGGGAAUAGAGAGGUUUCACCAUGAAAAUGUCAGACUCAAACUUUACCAUAGUAAGUUUCCUUUACCUUCCUGUUUAGAGGCCUGCUUUGGGCAGAGUAUACUACACAUUAACUAACAGAGCACAGCUGGAACUCAGACUUUUUUGUGUUCUUAUUAUUGGUCUUAUUGUUAUUUAUUAAUCACCUUCCACAUACAUCCCAAGGUGAUGUUUAAAACAUAAUAAAAAUAGCUUAAAAACUGUAGCAAUAAUAAGUGAUAAAUUUGAUUACAAAAUCCUAAACAUUUUUGCUAUGAAGCAAAUAGGAGAGGGAAAGUCCAUGGAAAGCGGUGAGCAACAUAAACUGGAAUCAUCUUUCAAUAUUCAGCCUCUAUUUCAAGUCUAGUAUUAAGCCACUUUCCAUGUUCAGAGUGCAGGAAACCAUAUCACAAUCCUAAUGUGGAAAGGAUUUAUGCUGGAUCUAUUUGAUGGCCAUGGAGAUAUCAUCUUAGAGCAGGCAUGGUCAAAUUUGACCCUCCAGCUGUUUUGGGACUACAACUCCCAUCAUCCCUAGCUAACAGGACCAAUGGUCAGGGAUGAUGGGAACUGUAGUCCCAAAACAGCUGGAGGGCCAAGUUUGGCCAUGCCUGUCUUAGAGUCUUGGUACCUUCAUGACUGAUUUUCCAACAGGCACUAGCAUAGUAAUCUUUUCCAUAUAACUGUUUUCAUCAAGUGAGUAAUUUAGCAGUCCAAGGAAUAGAAACUUGAGGUAAGGAUAGUCAAAUUGUUUUCUUUCCCCCACAAAUCAGAAACAAGUCAUUUCACUUCCUGAACAACCCAGUUUUGGAAAAUGAAGACCCUCCAAAUGCACUCUCCCAUCCUUUUCCUUACUUAGUUGGAAGAGAAGGAAGGAUGGGGAGGAUAUAACAGCAGCAAGCAACAAGAAGGAUCCCCCUUUUUCAUCCUGAUGUGCUCUGCAGUGUGUCAGAACAAAAACAAAACAAAAAAAAGCACCAGUGCCUUCUCAAAAGCUAUUGGCACUGUGGCAGCCUGUGGGAAGCUUCCAAUUCCCAAUUGUCACUGGGUUUUUUCCAGUUCUGAUGUUUUGCAGAACAUGUCAGGGCAAUGAAAAGUAAGAUGAAAGGGGGCGAGCUCCCUUUGCUAUGCUCUCUACCACUGUCUCAACUCCUCACCUGCAGCUAACUAGCAGGAUGACUGAAGAAGGUGAAUUUAGGUUUGAUGGAGUCAGGUGAGCAAAGGUGAAAGCCUUUUUCUGACUUGGAUAACGAUGCAAGCUAGACUAGGGUGGGCCCCACAAAUUAUUUAUCACUUUGUUUAGUAGAAGCAUUGUAUACCACCUCUUCAAUUAUUUUCCCCAGGUAGUUUACCAAAACAAUACAAGUAAUGUGAUGUGAAUUCCAUUAUAAUCAAUCCCUCUAAGAAUCCUAUUAGUUUAUGGCACAUAAACAAACACUUUCUCUCCAUGAUAUUGGCAAGAAUGUGGCAAUGUGGGGACAUUAUAUCAUUUGUGAUGGAGCUGUCCCUGGAUUAGCACAUUCUAGUCAGAGAUUUUUGCUGGAAUUAUAAACCAACCGGUGGCUCCUGAUCCCCUUUUGCUUAUUUUUGCAGAACUGCUGUGUCAUGCUGAUCUAGUAGUAUUUAUCCUGGCUGUGUUUUACCUGAACAUUGCUCACUGAUUGCUCUCAGCCCUCCUUUACAAAGAAGGGUUGGCUAGUUAAAGUAUGACAGCCUGCAUUACCAGAAAAAAGGAUGUUCAGAACAGAGUGGCAUAGAUUGACCAUUUUGUUAACAUCUCGUUUCUUUUUGUGACAUAUAUGCAUGGGGGACACAUGGUGGGAACCCACCUGAGUGUCUGGAAAUAUAUUCUCCUGCAUUAAUUUCAUGAUAGCCCAUGGUCACUGCAGAUGGUGACAGCAGUCACGAAAUUAAAAGAAGCCAGCUUCUUGGGAGAAAGGCGAUGACAACCCUAGACAGCAUCUUAAAAAGCAGAGACAUCACCUUGCCAACAAAGGUCCGUAUAGUUAAAGCCAUGGUUUUCCCAGUAGUGAUGUAUGGAAGUGAGAGCUGGACCAUAAAGAAGGCUUAUCGCCGAAGAAUUGAUGCUUUUGAAUUAUGGUGCUGGAGGAGACUCUUGAGAGUCCCAUGGACUGCAAGAAGAUCAAACCUAUCCAUUCUUCAGGAAAUCAGCCCUGAGUGCUCACUGGAAGGACAGAUCAUGAAGCUGAGGCUCCAAUACUUUGGCCACAUCAUGAGAAGAGAGGACUCCCUGGAAAAGACCCUGAUGUUGGGAAAGAUUGAGGGCACAAGGAGAAGGGGACGACAGAGGACGAGAUGGUUGGACAGUGUUCUCGAAGCUACAAACAUGAGUCUGACCAAACUGCAGGAGGCAGUGGAAGACAGGAGGGCCUGGCGUGCUCUGGUCCAUGGAGUCACAAAGAGUCAGACACGACUAAAUGACUAAACAACAACAGCCCUUAGUUGAGAGUAGAAUAUGCUUGUUAUACCCUGAAUUCUUGCUCUAAACUAUCUGAAUUGCUUGAAUAUUAUAUACAUGUGUACAAUGUUAGUUUGGUUAAUUGUUUAUUUGUACAUUUUUUAUGAAAGCUACAAAACUAUUUUAUUUUUAUUUCUAAAAUCCCAGAAGUUUGUUUCUCUAGUUGAAACCAGCCCACGCAGAGCACUUGAGAGAUUACUUGCAUCUUGUAAUUAUACAUUAGCAUAAAUGGUUUGUGCAGUGUCACUAAAUUCCAUGAUGUAUCAAACAUGCACCCAAAGGAAAAAAAUUCCAGUAAUUCACUGACACAAGCAGCAGGUGCUUCCCUGAACCAUGAAUUCCAUCCAGCUUUGUGUGGCAUAAGCAUACCAAAUGACUGGAUGCUAAUAACUUUGCUUUUUUUAAAAAAAGGGUUCUUUGUCACUUCAUUUUUGCAAUAGCUUUUGGGAAGCAUCUUCCAUGACUAAGACCUGUGAGUACAAAAUGCCUUAACUAUAAUACAUGUGAGUCCAGAGAUAAGUUCCAGAAGAGAUUUUGCAAUCACUUUCAUCCAAGAUAGAUGUAGCAUAAAUUGAAGUCCAGUCCUCUGAAUGUGAACCACGGCUCUCAAAAGCAACAUGAAAAGCAAUCCAAACCCUGUCUUCAAGCUUACCACCAGGUCACCUUAAAAUAAAUAUCUGGCAUAAUGGAACGGAAUGGAAAUAAAACAACACUUGUAGAACUGAUCCCUGCAGUAGAUUGUCAAGGACAGACUUUGAUUCUUUUGCUUGUGCAAAGGUGAGAUGAAAGCAAGCAAGUUGUAUCUGUAUUAUUUUAUCCAAAGGCUUGCUGAAUAGAUGCUGCUCUUUAAUGUAAUGGAAAUGAGCUCUUCUAUACUGAUCAUCCAUAUUUUUAAUCAUACCUUCAUUGAUUAUAUCAGUUACAAAGAUAGCCCCUAACCACCAUAUUAUUUAUUUAUUUAUUUAUUUAUUUAUGGGUACCUGGUUGACGUGUUAAAAUGAAUGGUGCUUCCCUUAAUAAGUUACUUAUUUGAGGUGUUUAAGAUUUAACUUCGCACCUUUUCCAACAGCUUUUUCACCUUUUAAGUGUUUAUUGCAAGUGUUAACUAGAAUCAGUUAUCAUGUUAAAAAUAAACUGCAUGUGGAACCCUGUAUAUGUCAAUUUAGCCCAGUAAGAAGCUUUUAAAAGAACUCUUCUCCUUCAAAAAGUAACUUUCAAAUUUAUUUACCAAUGCAUCUUAUCCCUGUUGUCUAAAGAUAAGUUCAGUCCUCAUUUUUCAUGGGCAUUGACUGAAUUCAUUUAAAGUUCAACACAGAGUUGAACAAAGAUUUCUCCGGCAGCUUGACUUUCCCACUCCAUUAAUGUUACCACUUAAGAAUGAGGGCAGUCAUCUCAAUAAACUACAGUAGCUUGAAGGGACUGAAGUCCAUUUUUCCACAGUUUGAGGGUUAAGCUUUAUAUUUAGGAAAAACAAGAAAUGUAUUCAUGCUAAGGGCCAUCCCAUUCAUAACAAUUUUAAGUGUGCAUCUAAUUUUUUUUAAGUAUACAGCUAAAAAAAGGUAGUGUGAUUGACACAAACUCACUUUUAUAAAUAAAGGUAUCAUAAUACGUAUAACUCAGGGAUAAUAUUUGAUGGCUAGCUUUUUAUUCCAUCUUUGUGUUUAAUUAAUAUAAUUUUAUAUGACUAUAGUGCUGGCCUUUGGAAUAUUUGAAUGUGACUGUAGUUUACUGGAAUUGGUUUCAAAAAUGUACGUAGCCUUGAGAGGGCUUGACCUAAAAGGUCUAUAAAUACUUAAUAAAUAAAAUAAAAUAAAUAACUAAAAGAAAUAUGACACCCUUUAGCAACGACAGAAACAGACGUAGUUUCAAACACAUACCCUUUUUUGAAAAUAAAAUAAAAAAGCAAUACUGAAAAAAACCUGGGAGCCAUUUUGAAACCAAGAGAGAUCCUUCGCUGAAUCCAUAUUUUGAUUACCGUAUUUUCACAACAUAUCCAUGUUAAUAAUGUUAUUUAUUUAUUUACAGUAGUUAUAUUCUGCUUGUCAGGCAGAUAUUGAUAAUUUCCUUUCUUUCACCAUAAUGAAAAAACCAAAGAUAAUAUUUUAUGAGCGGCAUGUUGUCAGGGAGAUGAAAUAAUUCAGCCUAAUACAUAAAUUAUAGUGAUACAAUACUAUUCAUGGAGUCUCGUCAUUCUCAUCAUUCUCACAACACAGAUGUGAGGAUUGCCUAAUUGACAUAUUAAUGAAGGAAUGAAUACAUGGUGGAACAGCUGCAGUUGUCACCUAGAACAUUAUCAAACAAAUGUCCGAGGAAAGAAUUCAGGUCUCAGGAAUUCAGUUUAUUGUCACAGAGCUGUAAAAUGCUGCAGCUUGAAUGGAUUACCGCAGGGAAGGCCAACUGGUAGCCGACAGGUAGCACCAGGCCUGCUAGAUUAUUCUACAUGCCCCCAUAAGUCCACUGGUCUUUUCCUGCAGACCCCUGGACAGUGUAGCGCCAAGCAAAAAUAAGUAAAGAGCUGUAAGACCCACUUGGCUCAGAGAAGAAAGAAAGCAGAAAACCAAGUAUUUACAUUCAAACUGAAGUUCAUUAUUGCCAGCACUGGUUUCUAGCUUAGAGAAUGAUAAAACUGACCACUGCAACACCUGUGUUUCUUUCCGAGAUGAAUGGUGGCAAACAAAAGCCCAUCAGCACUGAAAGCAGAAAUUUUAAAAGUGCAGUAGGAAAGCCAUUGGUUAAGUUGCCUCCAAGCUGCUUGCUGCUAAAUCACAAGGCUGGUUGGUCUGAGAAAAGAUGCCUACAGUAGCAUAAAACUCACUUUAUUUUGUUGGCACCUGCAUUUCUAUUUAAGCAUACUUUGUUCUUUUGAUUAAUAUUUGCUAUACAAAACUUUUACAGGCAGCUUUUGAAGAGACUUAUUCCAUUCCAGUGCACAAACUCAAGAUACAAGUUGGUUACGUAACAUGGCUCUGAGCAGUCAGUCACAUUUAUUAUUCAGAAGACUAACUAAAAGUCUCAGUGCUUUCUUUCAAAUAUGCAGUUCUAACUUGUCAAUCGUGGACUUACAGCCCUGUUCUGCAAUGUCAAUCUGCAUCUUCACCACAACAGUGCCUUUGCAAAUACUAAGGAGCCCAUUCAUAUCAUUUCAUUUCAUGCAGUGCUUCCCAUGCAGGAAUGUUGAAUAAAAAAAGCAAACAAAGCGAGUUUGUCAACAAGGCUGGGAAAAUUUAAAAAACUCAAAAAGAUGCGAGAAAGCGAAAGAGGGAAUUGUUCUCAAAGUGCUCCAGAAAGUUUAUUGUAGUAAUAAAUGUCCAAUAUGUUUCAGAAUGGUUCCCCCCCACCCUAUCUUCAGGAACAAUUCUUUUUGUAGGAACACGGCACACACCCAAACACAAUUAAAGCUUCUUCCUUGGCAAAAUACAGAUGUAAACAGUCCUAGGAAUGACCGAAGUUUUUCUAUCAAAGUUUCCAUCUCUGGACUUGUUGGUCUCCUCUUUCCUUCUGACACAUCUGCAAAAUCGAUUAUCAAGGAAUUCCCCACACAGGAAAUGUUGCUGGUUUGGCUACAGAGUACAGUCUACCUUUGGAUGUUGCAUCAGUAUGUAGACCUUUUGCACACUAUUUCUGACUGGCCAAAACAUGAGGAAUAUGUUAUUGAUAUUUCCUGUAGAAGCAGCCCUUCCAUUAGCACACCCUACCCAUUCAUCUAGGCUUACAGCUUUCCCCAGGAAUUUAUUUUUAUUUAAUAUUUACAGGCUGCUUUUCAGAGUAAAACUCUCUCAAAAUGGCUUAAAUCAUAAAAAAAUUAAAUCAGAGGAAGGAGUUAAGCAUAUGCAGUUUCAACACUAUUUGUGCCAUUAGCUCAUCAAUAUAUUUCCUCGGAAAAGCCACAUGUUUCAAUGUCCAAUGCUUCUGAUGACUGUAAGGAACUGAAUAGGAAGUAGCCUGUGAAAAGACUCCAUAUUCAGCAAGGAUUCCUUGCUGUGCCUAAGCAAAUAACAACUUACGAAUCACAAUAGAGAAAUCACAGUGGAGUAGCUUUAGUCUAACACAAGUUAGUGACUUAGUGAUAAUGGGAUGAAAGUAAACAGUAUGCUAUUCAUCAAGUGUUCAGAUGAGAUACUUUCACCAGGCUCUCCUGAUCUUAAGCACUAUUAAAUGUAACAGUCACAGACUGAAAUCUUAAGACUAGGAAAUCCAUUAUCACCAUUACACCACUCUCCUACAUUUAAAGGCUGCUUCUCUUGCAAGUGGGCGGUCAGAAGCAGUGGUGAGGCAGGGGGAGACACUCCCCACCUUCCCCACUUCACAGGGGUAGUGCAGGAGCUGAGAUUUUGAGAAGGCUUUAAUCUCCGCUCAUGAGCUGAUGAGCAGAGUAAAUCCUGCUGUCUUGGCUGUGCGAUCCUAUUCCCUGCCCCAAACAAGGCACACAGCCAAUGCAGGGCUAAAAUCUAGCCUCCCAACUAUACGCUGACAUCACUGGUGAUGUCAGCGGAUGGGCAGGAGGGCCUGACAUGGGGGAAAUGGCCUCACAUGCCAAAAUGGGAGGCCAUGAUUGGCCCAUAAACACAUCUGCCUUGUCUGUAUUAAGUUUCCAAUCCAUUACAUAUUGAAAGCUUGAAUAGCUUCCUUGGAUUUAGAAGGAAAUGAGAGAUUGGGUGCCAUGAACAUAUUGUUUAUCUUCAGCUAUUUUUACCCUACUCUUCAGCUGAAAAAAAUGCUCACAGGCUUGCAUACAAGAUCAAUAAUUAUCUCUUCCUUGCUCAUAAGCUUACAGUCUAACAGACACAUCGCCAAAUAAAUGGAAAAAGGAUGGGGACACCAAGCAUCAAACCCCUAAAGCAGGCAUGGCCAAACUUGGCCCUCCAGCUGUUUUGAGACUACAAUUCCCAUCAUCUCUGACCACUGGUCUUGUUAGCUAGGGAUGAUGGGAGUUGUAGUCCCAAAACAGCUGGAGGGCCAAGUUUGGCCAUGCCUGCCCUAAAGGAUCUCACCCAGCAGUUUCAUGUAGAAGUUAAAUAACAUGGAGGACAAAAUCCAUGCACACAUUUUUCUAUUUUCUUCCUUUUCUUGUCACAGAACUUAGUUGCCUACUGAUCUAGAUCAUCAGUGAGAAGCUUCCAAAGGUUUCUACUAUAUUGUUGUUUUAAAACUUAUUUUUGUCCUCAAAAAUUCUUACUCACUGACUACUGGCUUUAAGGGGAAAUAGAGAAAGUGGUCUCUUUCAGCAUUAAAUAUUAAGAGACCUGCUUUAUCUAGCUGAAGGUUAUGAACACUAAGUAAGCGAUCAAGUUUCUUCUUCAACUAUAAGACAUCACAUGAUUAACUUUACUUACUGCUCCAAGCCAUGCUAUAGAGGCUGCUUUCAGGGAAGCUAGUAAUGGAAUAUCUGAGAGGGAGUACUUUGAGAUUGUAUAAAAUGAACUGCGCUGGGGCUCAUAUUUGCCCAGAAGUCAUGAUCUCUGCCCUGGAAGCCCUUAUCCUAUCUCUGACAAGUUGUAGAUUCUUGUUUGUAGCUUCCCACUAAUGAGGAACAGGCACUGCAGAUGCUAAAGCCAUCAUACUCUCUUCAUUAUUAUUACUUUACACAUUCAAGGCUGAGUCCUGACAUUCAUAAUAAGUUCUGGGGCUCAACACCAACUCAAAUCAAACCCAGAUAGAAUCAAGAGAGAAUGACUCUGUUUAGACGAUAAUCAAAAACAUGGUUUAAAUUAUAACAAACCAACUGUGGUGAAUUUGGGUCUCACACACCCCGCCCAUACUGCUUCAUACAUGAGGGAUGGAGAGGGAACGCUUCUGCUCUCACUUUUAACUAAACUACAGCUUCCCAAUCUGAAUCUGGGGAACCAUAGUUUAUUCUGCGGCUAGCUGUUUAAAACAAACCAGGACCAAACAGGUGUAAAAAUGAAAUUGAGCAUGAAAAUGAAAGUGGGUGCCAUUAAAAGUGAACUUGCAAGACUAUUUAUGGGCCCAGGAGAAGCAAGCCUUUGGCUGUCAAAGUAGAACCAGGGUAGUGGUAAUAAUGACAGGACUAGCAACUUGGGAUCUAAUAGGCCACAACUUUAUUGAUUCUAGAUGUCAGUGGGCUUUGGCUCAGGCAUUAAGGUUUGUAUUCUGAAUCAAACAGGUGCUGGUUGAUUAUUCCUUCAGAGUAGUUCCUGGGUUAAUGGCUGCCCUAUGACACACAUCAAAUCCAAGCGAUCCCUACAGGAUGCCAUUUGCGGGUGCUCUAUGGGCCACUAUCUCCUGUCUUGGCAUUUGGACAUAAGCAGCCCCACUUGGUGGACCAUAAAGAAGGCUGAUCGCCGAAGAAUGGAUGCUUUUGAAUUAUGGUGCUGGAGGAGACUCUUGAGAGUCCCAUGGACUGCAAGAUCAAACCUAUACAUUCUUAAGGAAAUCAGCCCUGAGUGCUCACUGGAAGGACAGAUCCUGAAGCUGAGGCUCCAAUACUUUGGCCACCUCAUGAGAAGAGAAGAUUUCCUGGAAAAGACCCUGAUGUUGGGAAAGAUGGAGGGCACAAGGAGAAGGGGACGACAGAGGAUGAGAUGGUUGGAUAGUGUUCUCAAAGCUACCAGCAUGAGUUUGACCAAACUGUGGGAGGCAGUGGAAGACAGGAGUGCCUGGUGUGCUCUGGUCCAUGGGGUCACGAAGAGUCGGAAACGACUAAACGACUAAACAACAACGGCCCCACUUGGACCCCUUUAAUUGGGUACCCUAAUCCCUAGGAGUGGGGAGGGGAUCAGAGCUCCGGCCACCCCCUCCGCUUAGUCUAGGAAUCCAACCCAAUGCAUUAACUGCCCGCAAGUUGUGACAGUUGCUAUGAGAAAUGAAAUCGCCCCCCCCCCCCAACAAGCCCAAUUUGUCUGCAGGCAAAUUCCUCCCUGGUUCUAAAUAUGGUGCCCAAAUAAAUCCACCACAAGCUCUAAGCAUGCCCUGCUUGCUCACCUUCAAUCAGGGCCAACGAUAAGUUAAGGGCAGGGGGAGGUAGGAAGUCCAUCAACAAAUGCGCUGCUGAGAGCAGGCACAGCCAUCUUUUAAAAGUUAUGUAGUGGUGGACCUGAGCGAAGUCAGUCACCUUGCUUGCAACUGACUUGUGGGUGAGUUCUAGCUGCUCCUGUGGCUGAUGGAGGACAUGAUGGAUCGCCCUUCCAGCUGUGGCCAUUCCACAACUGCUACAUACCACCAAUGACAGUACGCAGACUUUCUGCUUGUUUUCAAUAUUGCAAGAUUCUGCAGUUGACUUAUGUAUUACAUUUAUACCCUGGCUUUCCUCCAGAGAUCUCAAGGUGAUAUACAUACAGAGAAAGGGCAAACAUUUCAGUUUACCAUGUAGACAAGUACUAUCAUUUUACUAUCCUGACAAGAUCUAUCUGCAGGUAGAUCCUAAUGCCUUUUUUUCACUGAUUCUAUUUAAAGACACUUUUCCAUUCCAGUAGAUUUUAACAAAAACCAGGGAAGUAGAGAAGGAAGAAUCAAAGCAGACUCUCCUCUUGCCCUUCUUCCUGCACAUAUUGUCAGACCAUUACAGUUUUCAGAUUUCAGCUGUCUACCUAUAUUAUUGCACCUGUCACCUCAUGUACUCUGCGUUCCUACUACAUCUACUAAACUCUUCUAUUUACUGUUUCAUUUUGUUCUCUAAGCUUUAGAGAUGUCAUUAAGAUGCUAUUUCCUAACAUUGUAUGUAGAUACCUUGCUGACCCUGGAAGUUUCUCAUUCUGUUGUUAAGCAAAUGGGUUCCCUCGGCUGAGUGCAAAAACAUCCCUUGUGCCAAAGACGAUGAAUGUAGCUAUUGCUGCACAUUCAUUCAAUAUAUCACAACCAUUGUUCCAUUUAGUACAUACAACUGUUAAUACAACUAUGACUGUUCUCCAGUUUUCAGCAUACCUCAAGUCUGUAAGAAACCAAUACACUAGAGAAAUUCAGUGCUCAGCAGAGAGGGCAGCUGAACUUUGCGAGCAGUUAGAAUUUCUUGCUGCUAUUCAUUUGUGGUUCUAUAGAUUUAGGCUGAGGAUGCCUCCUUAACCACUGUUAAAGAGGUAGUUUGAGUUUGCACAUAACACUAAUCUCUGGUUAAUAACACCUAAGGUUUAUGAACCAACUGUAAACCUUCGUUAACAAGCAACCCUAACUAUAGUUUAAAAACGGCUGCUGGACUGCAUUUACACAUAAUGCCAAGCCAUGGUCUAAUGGACCAUAGUUUAAUAAAACAUGGUUUAUUGCUGUGUGAGAACCAGGCCAAUAAAUUGCUCAAGGCCAUUCAGAAAAUCUGAAAGACAACCAGGGACUUCCUAAAUCCAAACCCAACACUCUACCCCUCUCAAAUAGGAAACAAAUUUAACUAAAAUAGGACUAGAAUCCUAAUUGAAGCUCGAAAAUCCCCCCCCCCCCAUUCUGGGUUUAGAUUUGGCAUUUGAAAAGUCAUUCUAUAAUACCACAACACAAAAAAUUAUUUAAGAUAGGACAACAACAGAGAAGAAACAUAAAUUUUAUUUCAGCCAAAAUUAAAUUUAAUAAAGACAUCUGUUGGAUGCAAGAAUGAAAAAACAAGAUCCUUAGAACCAUCUUGUCUUAGACCGUGCCAAUUCUCCUAAGCAGUCUCUCUUGCCAACAAACAGAAACUCUGUAUUUUCCAUUAUGAAGCAGAGCCAGCUGACUCUUAAUCCAGAUCUCUACUCCCACUUGGCAAAAGCUGAGGAGCAGAAAAGCAAGGAGCUAAUAUAGUGAGGCAAAAUGAAUUGAUCCAGCCAGUUAUACCAGAAUUAUGGCUGUUCCCCAUCUACAAAAAAUUGUCAUUCCUGGUGAACAAUGGAGAAAUUACCAUUUGCACUGCAGUGUUAAUAUGCCAGAGAUGCCUCCCCAUAUAUCAUCAGAGAACACUAAAACUCUAUGCAAGCUGUUGAAUAAGGCACACAACUGCCAGUUAAACUAUUAGGGCAUGCUUAGAAACAGUGAAGUAAAUUGUCACACAUGAACAAAGAUUAUCUACUAUCCCCGCUGCUGCCACUAAGCAUAGUUUGGAACCCAUACAGUUGGCAAAUGAUGCACAGAAAAGUGGCAGAAUCCCUGACCAAAGGAUGUACAAAAUCUACGUUUGAAAGAGAUGAGUUGGAGUGAGAAUUCAAGAUUGCUUAAUAGUGAUGACAGGGUAGGAUGAGGGGAAUUGGUUGGUAGUGGAAGGUUAGGAGUGAUUCAAUUGAGCCACUAUUGAAGAAGUGGUUCUUGGGAAAAGAUUUAAGGUCAAGGGAAGUAGGCUUGAUGAAAGAGAUGUUGUUCCAGCAGGCACAGGAAGCACAUCACAGGAAGUAAGGUCAGAGUAGAAGGAAGACAUAAAAGCAAGUUUGACGGAAUAUGAAGGAUCCUGAGAGAGGUGGUAAGAAGCAGUAUUAUGAGAUAAGAAAGAGAUGGUACAAAGAGGCAGUGGAUGGGAGGGGGGAGCUUUUAAAGUAUGGCCUAUAGAAACUUGUCCUUCAUGAGGAGGGACAGAGUCAAUGCAAGGUUUAAGAAAAUUGGUGGUGUAACGGUUACCAUUAGGUGAUAAAGUGGGUGGACAAAGAGAGGGAGAAAAGUGAAUUCAAGAUGUAGGAGAUGGCAAUGAUGCAGAGGUUGUUGUCGUACUCCAGUUGUGCUACACCGUUCCCAAGAUAUAUGGUUGGCACCAACUUUAGAAGUCUUAGUUUUCUUAGAAAUUCACAGGAUAUUAGUUGCUUAGUGUGAAGUCACUUUGUGGUUUUGAGACUGUCAGGUGUACUUAUGUACAUUAUCAGCUUUCACUGUUAUUUUGUUACUGAAAUUUAUUUGUGGCUCUUUUAAACUGAGUUUUAUUGUACCCCAGUCUGAGAUAAUCGACGGUGAAGGAAGGAAGGAAGGAAAAAGGGUAUAGGACGUGGAAUAUAAAAUUUUCUAGACCCAGAGAUGGGGGCAAGGUGAGGGAAGAGGGAGAGAGGACAUAGGAUAAGGGCAGGGUACGUGGAGAUGGAUGUAAACUUAUACUGGAUCUUGCGAAGCAUCUUGCAGAAGUGUAAGAUAUUGGACUGUGUGGGAGAAAGAAGUGAAAGCUUGAGAUACUUACAAAAGAAACAGCAGGGCUACUGUGCAAAGAAGGGACGAGGGGUAGAUUAGUUUAACAAGGAGGAGAGAGUAAAUUGACAGUGCAUAAGGUCAACAUGGUCUUUCCUAAGAGGCGUCCAGCAAAGUGGUAACAGAAACAGAAAAGAGAUGAAGCUUUGGACGUUAGCAUGAAACACAGAAUUAUAAUUAGAAUGAGGUCAGUUUUCUUGACAUUGGCAAGAAAAAUUCAUAAGAGGCCAGGCUAAGUUAACUAGCCUCUUGAAAAGUCUUCUUUAUUUUAACAGCUUUCCUGUAAGUUAAAGGAAACAGAAUAAUCAACAUUCUCUUACACAUCUUAACCACCAAAUCUUUCAUACAUGUAACUGAGAAGAUUCUGAGUCUCCCAUCACCCACCUUAAAGGAAGUAACUUCAAUACAAGUUCUGCAGAAAACAUCAGGGCACUUGAAGAUCAUAACAACAGGCACCCCCAAAUAAUAAGCAUCUUAUCUUCUUAUACUGAGGCAAAGCCCCUUGCUUUUGUCUCUCCCUGUCAGGAUAGAACCUUCUUUAUUGAGAAAAACACUAUUACGACUGCCUUAAAAACUCUUCCUUUUAGAAGUAAUAGAUGCUGCUUAAAAGAUAGUCCAUAACCUAUGUGUCCUGGGGAUGGGUCAGAUAUUAUGGGAUAUAAAGGAUUCAUGUUCAACUCAGAGUGUUUUCUUUGAGAGUCCCUUAGGCAUUUCACUGCAAGAAAAUGACUACAUUCUUUCAGUUCUUGAGCCUUACCUUACCACAGUGCUAACAAUGCACAUUUUGUCAAGAAUGUCCUGAUAUGCCCCAAGGCACUUUCCCCCCAAAUACAUUUCUUAUUUCUAAUGUGAUUGGACAUGUACUCCCAGCCUUAGGUGACUUGAGAUGCAGCAUUUUACAUUAACAGGGCUACUUUAGAUAUAAGCAGGGUACUACAGCAUACCUAAGAUACUUAUUAAUGAAUCUCUAUUAUUCACAAUGAUUGGGAUCUUUAAGUGUUUUAUUGUGUCAUGGCUUACUAUCAACUGAUCACUAUCACAAGCAAUUUAUUUAUUUAGUUAAAAGCAUUUAUAAACUGCUUAAUAUUUUAAAACCUCUAAGUGGUAUACACCAUGAAAACAACAUUAUCACUGAAACCAAAGUACAGCAUAAAGGCAGUAAAAUGAUAGUACUAAAGCAUAUUAAAAACAGGAAUUCAAACAAGUGAAAAUUAGGUUCUAAUCUAUGGGUCAGGGAAAACCUGGGCAAAAAAGUCUGUCUCUACAAGACGUUUGAUGCAACUCACAUUUGCCGCUUCUUGUAUGGCAGAGAGAAGAGUAUUUCAUAGUAUAGAGACAAUAGUGGAAAAUGCCCAUUUUGGGGUUGCUGCCCUAUGAUAUUCUAUACGGUAUAGUACCAUGAGUUUCCACAAGUCUAUACAGGGGCAGGCUGUCUUUCUCAUAAAUUUGCCACGAGUUGUUCAUGGCUUUAUAUAUUAACAACAAGACUGUGAGCAUGGCCCAUAGCAGAUCGGCAGUCAGUGCAGUUUCCUCAGAACAGAUGUAAUAAGUGCACAUGCAGGUGUUGCACUCAACAACCUGGCCACAGCAUUCUGCAUCAGCUACAGCUUUCAGACUAAUCCCAAGGGAAGCCCCAAAAAGAGGGCACCACAGUAGUCCAAUCUGAUUAAGAGGAUGGGCUAGGCAUAUGCAGCCCCUCACAGUUGUUCCUGUCUCUCACCUAGAAAGCAACCCAAUCAACAAGUCAAACUACCAGGGGGCAGCAUCCUUGCCUGCAGUGGUGUCCAAACUUUUUUCAAAGAGGGGCAGAUUUGAUGAAGUGAAGGGCCGUGGGGGCCAACCAAAGAGCCAAAGUUGUUGACCUUUUUUUAGGACUGAAGUUGUUGAGCUUUUCUUAUCAUUUUACCCCAGAGUUGUUGGGCAUUUUUUAGGAUUUUACCCCAGAAAAUAAACUGCCACAGGGGGCAGAUUAAACCAACCAGCGCGCUGCAUCAGGCCCCCCGAAACAGACUUUGGGCAUACCUGCCCUAGUGGUUCCCACAGCAACAACACUAAAAGGGUGUCUUCCCUUUUUGCGUGUUGCCAGGCCUGCUGCCCAAGGCAAUGCUCCUUUUAAACCCCAGUGGGGCAGCUAGUAAAGUCAGACAUGGGCAUCUGCCAUCAGGAACUGGCUGGCCUCUCUAGGAAGACAAACUGUCUUGCAGAGCCAAACUGCCCUGCAAGGGUACCACAGGUAGAAACAAGCAGGCAGCAGCUGCUAAGUGCACUAUUCACUUUCUACCUGGGUGAGGCAAGGGGUGGGGGUAGGGGGUGCUAACACAUUGCUCCUCAGAUGGAUCAAGAGAGCUUUACCAAGAACCAAUAGAACACUUAUCAAUGCAGUGUAGGGAAUUGGACAUACCAGGGAAUCUGGAAACCCAUAAUGACAAAUGAAACGCCUUCCUCUGCUGCACUGUCCCACUUUCUCCAUCACAUUCUGAUCUGCUUAAGGCAAUCACAGUAACUGUCUUGCUUCUGCAGUUCCUGCUGCACAUGAUGCCUCUGCAGCAUUUCUAAAUGGAUUUUACAAGCACUUUGUAGAGACAACCGACUCCAUUCAAAAGACCCCUGAGAAGCAAACAGCCUCUACAGCACUACAUCUGCCUGCUCCUUCAUAGGUUCAAGCCAUCAAACACUGAUCGUGCCAUUUGGUGAUUAUAUUAUUUUGAGUAAUUAUAGCAUCUGACCACAAAAUAUUUCAGGUUUCUGUAUCUGCUCUAGCACAUACUGUUGAUACUAUGCUGCUUCCAAAGAUUAAGAAAUACAGAAUACAGAACAUACAGAAAUACAGAACAAAUAAAGCAAUAUAUAUUCACUGCACUAACCAAAUAAUUCAACACACACACAGAAAACAUCCCAGUGAUUACUAGUCACAGGUUUGUUUUCAUUUCCUAGUUGAAAAAAAAUUCAAUUUAAUUAUUGGUUGGAUGUUUGAACUGAAAGUAAAACAUUAAUACACACUUCAACUACAAUGUAAUUUUGUUAAGAGAUUACAGUGAUGAUUAAUGUCACGGACUGACAACUCUGAUGAGUUAUGUCAAAUACUAAGCUCAUCUUCAAGAAAGGGCUAGGCCUAUACAUAUUACAUCCUCAGAUAACCCUGCAACUGAAGACUCUUGAUGGGCGCAUGCAUGCUGUGAAAUCAUAGUCAGAGCCAAAGAACCAUAGUAUCAGUCUUGCCAGAAUUUACCUUCUGCUUGAUUAUGUGAAUUAACUAAUCAGUAUUCCAAUAUAAGAACAAGAUGCAGCUUAAGAUGAACAAGUUGGAUUCAAGUUCAGCAACAGAAUUGUGCAAAAUUACAAGAAACCUAGAAUAAUGUAAGCUAAUUUUAGUUUUUGUGAUGUGAUGGUAAUUAAAACAUAAGUGAAAUAUAAUAUAAUAAAUAUUUGCCAGUUUUUACUAUGCUGCCACACCUCAAAUCUAUGGUCACCCAGGGCAAGAUUAAUCACCUGCUUAACUCUCAAAUAUCUCCCCUCCCAUAAUUUCAAUUUCUGGGGGAAAUAUUAAUGUCAUGUCAGUAGGGAGGAGUUAGUGGCAGAAUCCAUGUUUGCUUCCAAAAGGUGCUGCUUCAGUCCUUGCUAUCUCCAGGUAGGGUUGGGGAAGUUUCCUAUCUGAAACCCCAGAGAACCACUGCCAGAUGUGUAGACCGGGGUGACUAUCCUUUUACUUGGUUCAAGGGCCACUUUCAUCCUUCGCAAAACCUCUGGGGCCACAUGCCAGCAGUGGGUUUGGCCACUCUACACUCUCACAUAUACUCAGGCACAAAUGCCCCUUAUUGGGAAGGGUGGGCUAUUGCAUCGAGUCUACUCAUGAAAGGAUCAUCAUGAUGACUGGGGAGGGGUGGUUUGCAACCCCAUCAGAGUGCUGGGCUUUGUCUACCCCAGUGCUGUGCCCACAAUUUUCCCCUCCUUUUUUGUUUCCACCAUUAAAAUCAGUGAUAUCAUGGCAGACCAGAAAAAAUUGCUUCGGGGCUGGAUUAGGCCUUCAUACCAGUUAGCCAUCGCUACUGAGCUAGAAGAAGCAGUGGUCUAAUUCCACAUAAGGCUGCUUCCUUGUACUAGGAAGGGGACCUCCUAUUUUGAUAAUGCAGAACUCCACAGGAAAGAACACUGAUUAUCUUAGAUGCUUUCACUUAUAAAUUCAGUGGUCUGGGCAUGAAUGUUAAUUACGGUUAUUCAAUACAUGGAGCACCUUGAUGAGGAACAAAGCACCCCCACACUACCCAAAUGUUGAAUAAUGUGCUCAGCUGUUUAAAAAUAGUAAUUUAUGCAUACUCAUAAACAGCAGAAUACAGAGCACACAUAUUUAGGUAUUCUAAUUCAGUUCCCUCAGGGCUCUACGGAAAUACAGAUAACAUUUCCAUUUUAAUAAAAUUGCAUCAUAAUUUUGUUUACCUGUCUGCAAAUUGCUACAGUGGACAUUUAGCCAUUACAGCUAUCUACCAAAUUUUAUGAAAUCUGUCUUCUAAUGAAGGAGAGGGGGACUUUUCCUGAUUUUCAACUAAUAAUCUUGCCGAACUCAAUAUAUUUAAUAUUAACUCAUCGUGACUCUAACUUGAAGAGGCUAAAUAUCUUAUAAUAGAGGUCAGGAACAGGCAAUCAUCAGGCUGAAUAAAAAAACUGAAGGAUUCUGUCUAUCCCUCUGUUUGCCACUAUUCCUCUGGUAUUGGUUAGCAGGGUCUAAACAAUAAAAAAUAACAACCAGUGGGUCACAAGAGAUAUUAUGUCUUGUUAUAAAUGAUCUUAAUAACUUUCCUCCAAUAUUCUUUAGAGUAUAAUUGACAAGGUAAGACAGACAUAUUUUUUAGAAACUUGCAUCAGGUAGGGGAUGGGGUAUAUUUUCCCCUGUGCACUUGAAGAACAACAACCUAUUCAAAUAUUGCUGUUGUCGUGUACAUGUAGAGAAAUUAGACAAUUUUACCAUUACUCUGAAAUCAUCUUCCCAUUUACCAUUAUGGGUUUCUUUUCAUUCUGCAACAUUUGAUUAUAUUUAGACAAUCUUCCUUUUACUUGCAUUUCUGAAAAUGUAGCUAACGCCAGUUCUUCAUUUCUUCGAAUAUUCCAAAGACAUUAGUAUAUGGUAAAACAAUAUACCUAACUUCUAUCAGGAAAAUAUAGCUUUCUUAUGCUAUAGAAUUUGAUAGUAUUAAAUGGGCUUUGCAGCUGGUUUCUUCCAAAUCUUUCUACAACUCUCUCUCAAUUGUGACUCAGCAGCUUCAUUUGGCACUGUGUUCCAUUAAUGAAUUGUGACAAAGUAUUUCUUCUGUUUCAGGUAUGCAGACUUUCCCUUUUUGUGAAUGACCCUAAGCUCUUACAUUCAACAAUAGUUCUUGAAAUACAUUUUCCUAA
rnacentral:lncRNA from 1 species